GUCGUCAGCUCGUGUCGUGAGAUGUUGGGCUAAGUCCCGCAACGAGCGCAACCCUCGCCUUUAGUUGUCCAGCAUUCAGUUGGCGACUCUAGAGGGACUGCCGGUGUCAAACCGGAGGAAGGUGGGAUGACGUCAAGUCCUCAUGGCCUUUAUGUCUAGGGCUACACACGUACUACAAUGGCCGGUACAAAGGGCAGCCACUCAGCGAUGAGGCGCUAAUCCCAUAAAGCCGGUCUCAGUCCGGAUCGCAGUCUGCAACUCGACUGCGUGAAGUUGGAAUCGCUAGUAAUCGCGGAUCAGCAUGCCGCGGUGAAUACGUUCCCGGGCCUU
rnacentral:rRNA from 1 species